rnacentral:rRNA from 1 species
GUUAGGAAUAUUGGACAAUGGGCGCAAGCCUGAUCCAGCCAUGCCGCGUGAGUGAUGAAGGCCUUCGGGUUGUAAAGCUCUUUAGCCGAUGAUUAUAAUGACUGUAGUCGGAAAAUAAGCCCCGGCUAACUUCGUGCCAGCAGCCGCGGUAAUACGAAGGGGGCGAGCGUUAUUCGGAAUCACUGGGCGUAAAGCGUGCGUAGGCGGCUUUGCAAGUUGGGAGUGAAAGCCCAGGGCUCAACCCUGGAAUUGCUCUCAAAACUGCAAGGGUCGAAUUCGGGAGAGGAUAGCGGAAUUGUCAGUGUAGCAGUGAAAUGCGUAGAUAUUGACAGGAACACCAGUGGCGUAAGCGGCUAUCUGGACCGAUAUUGACGCUGAGGCACGAAAGCGUGGGGAUCAAACAGGAUUAGAUACCCGUGUAGUCC